rnacentral:rRNA from 1 species
AUUCCAGCUCCAGUAGCGUAUAUUAAAGUUGUUGCAGUUAAAAAGCUCGUAGUUGGUUUUCUGGUUUCACAGAACUGGCCUACUUCCUCAAGGUCGUGUGCGCCGUGUUUUGUGUACCAUCCUUCUAGAAAACGUUCGUACCCUUCACUGGGCCGCGUUCGAGAUCUAGAUCUUUUACUUUGAAAAAAUUAGAGUGUUUAAAGCAGGCAGUUGCUAUGAAUACAUUAGCAUGGAAUAAUAAUCUAGGACUUCGGUUCUAUUUUGUUGGUUUCUAGUACUGAAGUAAUGAUUGAUAGGGAUAGUUGGGGGUGCUAGUAUUGAGCGGCCAGAGGUGAAAUUCUUGGAUUCGCUCAAGACUAACUUAUGCGAAAGCAUUCACCAAGGAUGUCUUCAUUA